UACGGAGGGUGCGAGCGUUAAUCGGAAUUACUGGGCGUAAAGCGCGCGUAGGUGGUUUAAUCAGUCUGAUGUGAAAGCCCUGGGCUCAACCUGGGAAUGGCAUUGGAAACUGUUAGGCUAGAGUGUGGGAGAGGGGCGUGGAAUUUCCGGUGUAGCAGUGAAAUGCGUAGAGAUCGGAAGGAACACCAGUGGCGAAGGCGGCGCCCUGGACCAACACUGACGCUGAGGUGCGAAAGCGUGGGGAG
rnacentral:rRNA from 1 species